AUGGAGGCGCCGUUCGAGCUCCUGCUCGACCGUCUCGGGGCCGCGCCCGCGGCCAUCGUCACCGACACGUUCGUGCCGGGGGCGGUGCGCGUCGGCAACCGGAGGGGCGUCCCCGUGUGCAUCCUCUCGGCGCUCGGCGCCACCAUGUUCUCCGUGCAGUACCGCUUCGACCGGUUGCCCACGGCUGCCCGCGGUAGCGCUGACAUGGCCGAUGUCACUGAUCCUUGUCUGAUGGAAAACUAUAUUCCUGGACUCAAGUCGAUCAGGCUAACCGAUCUUGAGCCCACGCACUCGGACAAGAUUAGGCUGGACAAAAUCCUUGAAGCAUACCCGUAUGUGAGGAAAGCACAAUGUGUCAUCUUCACCUCCUUCUACGAGCUCGAGAGCAACGCCAUUGACUUUCUAAGGCAAGAGCUCCCCUGCCCGGUGUUUGCCGUUGGUCCUUGCAUCCCAUUCAUGUCACUCCAAGAAAACCAGGCAGAUUCAGAGGAAGAACAAGGCUACAAGACUUGGCUGGACACACAGCCGGCGAGCUCAGUGCUCUACGUCUCACUCGGCAGCUUCCUCUCCGUGUCGUCCGCCCAGCUCGACGAGAUCGCCAUUGGCCUGGCCCAGAGCAAGGUCAGGUUCCUCUGGGUGCUCCGAGACGCGUGCUCCCGAGUGCAGGAUUUGAUCCGUGGAGGCGACGGCGUGGUCGUUCCGUGGUGUGACCAGCUCAAGGUCCUGUGCCAUCCAUCCUCGGUGGGUUCUUCACCCACUGCGGCAUGA
rnacentral:rRNA from 1 species